AAACAUGUCUUUUAGAUUAUAAUUAAAGGUCUAAUCUGCUCAAUGAAUUAAAUUUAAAUAGCUGCAGUAUUUUGACUGUACUAAGGUAGCAUAAUCAAUUGUUUUUUAAUUAAAAGCUGGAAUGAAUGAUUUCAUAAGAUAAUUAUUGUCUCAAAUUUAAAAAAAAUAAAAUUUUAUUUUAAGUUAAAAUUCUUAAAUAUAUUUUAAAGACGAGAAGACCCUAUAGAUUUUUAUAGUUAAAUAAAAUUUUAAAAAAAUUAAAAUAUAAAUUUAAAAUUAAUUAUUUUAUUGGGGUAAUAAUUAAAUUUAUAAAAUUUUAAUUUAAUUUAAUCAAUAAUUUUUGGUUAGGAGAUUUUUUUUUUAAAAUGAAAGAUUAAAAUACCUUAGGGAUAACAGCGUAAUUUUUUUAAAUAGAUCAAAUUGAUAAAAAAGUUUGCGACCUCGAUGUUGAAUUAAGAUAAAAUUUUAAUGAAGAAGUUAAAAAUUUUUGGUCUGUUCGACCAUUAAAAUCUUACGUGAUCUGAGUUCA
rnacentral:rRNA from 1 species